rnacentral:rRNA from 1 species
AUUGAACGCUGGCGGCAGGCCUAACACAUGCAAGUCGAACGGUAACAGGAAGCAGCUUGCUGCUUUGCUGACGAGUGGCGCACGGGUGAGUAAUGUCUGGGAAACUGCCUGAUGGAGGGGGAUAACUACUGGAAACGGUAGCUAAUACCGCAUAACGUCGCAAGACCAAAGAGGGGGACCUUCGGGCCUCUUGCCAUCGGAUGUGCCCAGAUGGGAUUAGCUAGUAGGUGGGGUAACGGCUCACCUAGGCGACGAUCCCUAGCUGGUCUGAGAGGAUGACCAGCCACACUGGAACUGAGACACGGUCCAGACUCCUACGGGAGGCAGCAGUGGGGAAUAUUGCACAAUGGGCGCAAGCCUGAUGCAGCCAUGCCGCGUGUAUGAAGAAGGCCUUCGGGUUGUAAAGUACUUUCAGCGGGGAGGAAGGGAGUAAAGUUAAUACCUUUGCUCAUUGACGUUACCCGCAGAAGAAGCACCGGCUAACUCCGUG